AUACGGAGGGUGCAAGCGUUACUCGGAAUCACUGGGCGUAAAGCUCGCGCAGGCGGGCUGAUAAGUUGGAUGAGAAAGCCUACGGCUCAACCGUAGAACUGCAUCCAAAACUGUCAGUCUAGAGUGUGGGAGAGGAAGAUGGAAUUAGUUGUGUAGGGGUAAAAUCCGUAGAGAUAACUAGGAAUACCAAAAGCGAAGGCAAUCUUCUGGAACACUACUGACGCUGAGGCGCGAAGGCGUGGGGAGCAAACAGGAUUAGAAACCCCAGUAGUCC
rnacentral:rRNA from 1 species